GACGAACGCUGGCGGCGUGCCUAACACAUGCAAGUCGAGCGGAGUUAGUUUGCAGCUUGCUGCAAACUAACUUAGCGGCGGACGGGUGAGUAACGCGUGGAUAACCUGCCUUUUACAGGGGGAUAACACAGGGAAACUUGUGCUAAUACCGCAUAACAUAUCGAGGUGGCAUCACCUUGCUAUCAAAGGAGUAAUCCGGUAGAAGAUGGAUCCGCGUCCGAUUAGCUAGUUGGCGGGGUAAAGGCCCACCAAGGCGACGAUCGGUAGCCGACCUGAGAGGUUGAUCGGCCACAUUGGGACUGAGACACGGCCCAGACUCCUACGGGAGGCAGCAGUGGGGAAUAUUGCGCAAUGGGGGAAACCCUGACGCAGCAACGCCGCGUGAAGGAUGAAGGCUUUCGGGUUGUAAACUUCUUUAGUCGGGGACGAAUGGAUGACGGUACCCGAAGAAUAAGCCACGGCUAACUACGUGCCAGCAGCCGCGGUAA
rnacentral:rRNA from 1 species